rnacentral:rRNA from 1 species
GACGGGGCCGCACAAGCAGUGGAGUAUGUGGUUAAUUCGAAGCAACGCGAAGAACCUUACCAGGGCUUGACAUCCCUUGAAGCAGCUAGAGAUAGCUGUGUCCUUCGGACAAGGAGACAGGUGGUGCAUGGUUGUCGUCAGCUCGUGUCGUGAGAUGUUGGGUUAAGUCCCGCAACGAGCGCAACCCCUGUGGUUAGUUGCCAGCAAGUAGCGUUGGGCACUCUAGCCAGACUGCCGGUGAUAAAUCGGAGGAAGGUGGGGACGACGUCAAAUCAUCAUGCCCUUUAUGUCCUGGGCUACACACGUACUACAAUGGCCGUUACAACGGGAAGCGAAGGAGCAAUCCGGAGCAAAUCCCUUAAAGGCGGUCCCAGUUCAGAUUGUGGGCUGAAACUCGCCCCACAUGAAGGCGGAAUUGCUAGUAAUUGCAGAUCAGCAUGCUGCAGUGAAUACGUUCCCGGGCCUU